CAAUAGCGUAUAUUUAAGUUGUUGCAGUUAAAAAGCUCGUAGUUGGAUUUCGGGUGGGACGCAGCGGUCUCGCAUUGCGUUUGUACUGCUGCAGUCCUCCUUCUUGCCGGGGGCGGCCUCUCGGACUUCACUGUCUGGGGGUCAGAAUCGGCGAUGUUACUUUGAGUAAAUUAGAGUGUUCAAAGCAAGCUUACGCUCUGAAUAUAAUAGCAUGGGAUAACACGACAGGACUCUGGCCUAUCGUGUUGGUCUAUAGGACCAGAGUAAUGAUUAAGAGGGACAGUCGGGGGCAUUCGUAUUCCGUUGUCAGAGGUGAAAUUCUUGGAUUUACGGAAGACGAACAUCUGCGAAAGCAUUUGCCAAGGAUGUUUUCAUUAA
rnacentral:rRNA from 1 species